rnacentral:rRNA from 1 species
UACGUAAGGGGCAAGCGUUGUCCGGAUUUAUUGGGCGUAAAGAGCGUGUAGGCGGCCAGGUAGGUCUGCUGUGAAAACUCGAGGCUUAACCUCGAGCUGUCGGCGGAAACCAUCUGGCUAGAGUCCGGAAGAGGAGAAUGGAAUUCCCGGUGUAGCGGUGAAAUGCGCAGAUAUCGGGAAGAACACCCGUGGCGAAGGCGGUUCUCUGGGACGGUACUGACGCUGAGACGCGAAAGCGUGGGGAGCGAACAGG